UACGGAGGGGGCUAGCGUUGUUCGGAAUUACUGGGCGUAAAGCCCACGUAGGCGGCUUUGCAAGUUAGAGGUGAAAGCCCGGGGCUCAACUCCGGAACUGCCUUUAAAACUGCAUCGCUAGAAUUGUGGAGAGGUAAGUGGAAUUCCGAGUGUAGAGGUGAAAUUCGUAGAUAUUCGGAAGAACACCAGUGGCGAAGGCGAGUCUCUGGACAUUUCCUGACGCUGAGGCACGAAAGCCAGGGGAGCAAACGGG
rnacentral:rRNA from 1 species